rnacentral:rRNA from 1 species
CUACGGGAGGCAGCAGUGGGGAAUAUUGGACAAUGGGGGGAACCCUGAUCCAGCCAUGCCGCGUGUGUGAAGAAGGCCCUCGGGUUGUAAAGCACUUUCAGUGAGGAAGAACGCCUGGUGGUUAAUACCCAUCAGGAAAGACAUCACUCACAGAAGAAGCACCGGCUAACUCCGUGCCAGCAGCCGCGGUAAUACGGAGGGUGCGAGCGUUAAUCGGAAUUACUGGGCGUAAAGCGCGCGUAGGUGGCUUGAUAAGCCGGUUGUGAAAGCCCCGGGCUCAACCUGGGAACGGCAUCCGGAACUGUCAAGCUAGAGUGCAGGAGAGGAAGGUAGAAUUCCCGGUGUAGCGGUGAAAUGCGUAGAGAUCGGGAGGAAUACCAGUGGCGAAGGCGGCCUUCUGGACUGACACUGACACUGAGGUGCGAAAGCGUGGGUAGCAAACAGGAUUAGAUACCCCUGUAGUC